rnacentral:rRNA from 1 species
AUAUCGCGAGGUGUCAGCAGCCGCGGUAAUACGAAGGGGGCUAGCGUUGUUCGGAAUUUACUGGGCGUAAAGCGACACGUAGGCGGGUAUUUAAGUCAGGGGUGGAAAUCCCCAGAGCUCAACUCUGGAACUGCCUUUGAUACUGGGUACCUAGAGUAUGGAAGAGGUGAGUGGAAUUCCGAGUGUAGAGGUGAAAUUCGUAGAUAUUCGGAGGAACACCAGUGGCGAAGGCGGCUCACUGGUCCAUUACUGACGCU